rnacentral:lncRNA from 1 species
GUGAAACAUGUCCCAUUAAAUAUGCCCCAUUCCUUGAAUUGAAUGUGGUAGCAAUAAAUCAUAUGUAUGCCUUAAAUUGCUUUUUUGGUAGCUAUCAGAAUUUGAUAUGCUUAAGGCAUGAUUAUAUUUCAUUCAUGGGGAAUGAGAAGCUUAUUAAUGCAAAUGUUUACUUGAUUGUGAUAGUAUCACAACUCACCUCCGAAAGAGGCUGAAUAAUUGAGAAA